UUCUUAGCCUAUCCACAUCAGCAUCUGUUCCAUGGUAAUUCCACAUCAGCUUUGGCGGUUAAGCAUGAUUUUCUGAUCAUUCAUCUGCAUGGUGGGCUGCCGGCAGUUAUUGCUGUGGGAGUUUCACCCUCCCAGCUUCUAUUAUUCAAUUUCCACUAUUCUCAUAACUGUCCUUAAUCCCACACUCUUCCAAAUUCCAAAACCGUUCAAAAAAUGUUAGUGCAGCCCAUUCUUCUUCUUCUUCUUUCACGAUCCAUUUUCUCCAAAUUCCUUUCAUUUUGCCUCACACAAUUGAGAUUCUUCCUGUUCUGAAGACAAAGAAGCAACCUAUCCUGUUCACGGCGGUGUUGCUUGAGGUUCGUCAAUGAUGGAUAACUUCACGUAUGUUGUCUGCGGCUGUGUCAAUCUUGGCCGGAAGGGUGAUGCUCGCGGUGAUUGGUUUUGCUUUCUGAUGACCCUUCACAGUGGUUGGGUUUGAUUAAACGGGGAAUCUUUCACAUAUUGGAUUGGGUUUACAUUGUAAUUGCUCACAUAAUCUCUGGUAUUGGAAUCGUGGGUGGACUAAAUUGUAAGGUCUGUAUCGAUAAAACAGCAAUACAACACUCCUCAUUCUGUACUACUGUGGCUACUGCGAUACCAACGUGUUUCCGUCAACGACUGUGGUGGUGGGAUUUAUGGUGUCAUGGCUGUUGCAGGGAGUUUUAUAUGUUCGAUUACCAUAAUUGACUCUCUUGGAGGUUUUCAUCUUCUAAUAGAUGUUGUUCUUUAAGAACUUGGAUAUGUCGUUCCUCCAAUUAUGUACAGGUUUGUGCAAUACAGUGUGACUCUGCAACGUUAUUUCAAUCACCUUCGCGAACUCCACUGUGAAUAAUAUUCAUCAUCAUCAUCAACAACCUCUACAACACCCCCAACAAUAACUCGGCGACAACAAGAACACAAUUCUACUGCAUCACGUAAAAAUGUGGCGUCACUUCGAGUUCACGCAUCGAAAGAAACGAACAUGGAUGGAUCUAACUCAAGGUAUGGAAUUCAUAAACCCCAAUCCAUAAUUUUUUUCUGUCUCUCUUUCUCACUCGAUUCUUUUCUCUCUUUCACUAAUUUGCUGUCGGCGGUGCAGUUUCUAAUGAUUUGUAUGUGUUGGUUAUGGAGAACGACGGGCUUUCUGAAAAUCUGAACAGUUAUAGGUGUUGUGUUUAUUGGAAUUGAAAUUAUGGAACCACAACGUAUGAUGGGAACAAUGGAGAGAUUUAUGUUGGCACUGGAAAAUCAGAAUCUAAGAGGAGAAUCAGUGUUGGGUUCAAUCAAAACUCUAAAGUAUUCUUGCAUAUUUUCUUGAAUGGUUAUUUACUUCUUGAUUGAUUUUUUUUUUGUGUUUGAAUGAAUAUUAUUAUGCAACGUGCAUCUUAACCCGUGCCUUAACCCGUACGGUGGUUUUAAGCGUCGUCGCAUCAAUGAGAUAAUAGUUCAAGCUCAAGGAGAGCACACCUUCGUUCACUAUUCUUUGUUUGUUACUUGAAAAAAAACUAUUCCAUAUUGCAGAUGAUGGAAAGUUAGACACUGAGUUAAAUUCAGGUGAAUUUUGGGUCCUCUUUGGUGGUUUUGCUCCCAUUGCAAAAAAAAGGUAAUCAGUGAGGAUGAUAUCAUUACAGAGACAAUCCCUGCUCAGCUGUAUCGUGAUAGUUCUCAACACAGAUUAGAAGGGCUGAAUUGAAUCUGAAUGGAAUCGUCCCUGUUUCUAUGGUUGUGAUUCUUCAGGACUUCAAGUGGUACGAUUUUGUCCUCAAAUUACAUAAAAUUUAUAAUGGAACACAAACACAUCUCUCGAUGAUUUUGUGUAAACCAUUGGGAACUUCGAAGCUACUGAUGUUGCCAAUGCAGUUCUGGAUGGAACAGACUGUGUGAUGCUUAGUGGUGAGAUAGCUGCUGGAGUUUAUCCAGAACAAGUGAAUGUCUCAGUGCUGUGACUAAAAUGAAAUCGGAGAAGAAACCGAAAACCGAAGCAUGUUUGCGAAAUAGCAGAAUUUUCUGAUGCAGAGAUUAUUCAUUUUAAUAUGCAGAUAUGCACAAGUUGUAAUGAUGGAUAGACUAUGAUUCGAUUUGCGAUCAUUUUUUGCGGAGGAUGGAAUUGGAGGAAGAAGUGAGGAGGGAAAAUGCAAUCGAGAGAGAAUUGGGGAUUUCAAUACAAAGGCCGCUGAAUAUUCAGGGACUAAUGUCGCAGUGGUAAAAUUCAAUACUGAUGAACCCUGUUGCUGUUGGCCAUAUUGGUGCGUCGUAACCACAAACUGAUAUUUAUUGAUAAAAAUGUAUGGAUUUUUUGGGAAGAAAAUCAAAGAUUUAUUCGGAAACAUUUUUUGGUAUGAAUUAGUCGAUGUUAAGAAGCCGCGAGAUCAUGGAGUACCUUAUUCACUUACCGAAGGACUCACAAGUGUUUACAGAAUGCAUACGCUCCUACCUGAGGAGAUUGUUCUUCGAAAACUCAAACCUGACUGAUACAGUGCAAGGAGAGGAAGAGUGUAUCUACCACAACAUGAGUUGGCUCUGGCAGGGCUUUCAGAUGACGAUAUAUUUGCUGGUAAGGUGACAGACCAGUGGAGGAGUUUCAUGAAGAUCCAAAUCAAAAGAGCUUAUAUGAUAGAUUAUUAGGAAUGAAAGUGUGAUAUAUGGGAACAAUGAGAAGGGAAUGAGUAGAGUGAGAACCUUCAGAGAGGGAAAGCUGACGACAUCAGACACAUUAGACAUUAGAUCAAAAUCGAAUGAUUCUAUAACAAUAAUUAUAUUUUAUAUUUCAUAAUAUUAUUAAAAUUUCCAAUUUAGAUCAGAUAAGGGCUCACGCAGAAGCCAUGAGAUUUGCAGUACUUUUGGCGAUGGGGACCAGCCGUAGCAACACUGCACAUGAUUUGAACAAAAGCUUCUUGAAUUCUUAUACUUUUAUUUAUUACAGUCAAUGAUAUAUUACAUAAUUAUUGAAUUUACUUUUUGUUUAGCUCUAGGAAAUUCCGCUCUGGCAUCAAGUCCUCCAGUUGGUGAGAGGAAAUUGUUCUCAUAUAUCACACUUGGCUUGGUUUUGCUGCUCCUCAUGAUUCUCCAUGAUUUCAAGAUCAAGAAACUAGAAAUCUACACAAUAACAAUUUGAUUGCUGAUUCUUCUGGUACAUCAGGUAUUAUAUGAUUUUGCAAUUUCUUUUCAAUUAUACUAUAUCUUUAUGUGAAGAAUACUCUCAAUUUAUUCACUGCAUAAGCAAUGUCAAGUAUGGAAAUGGUUAAAUACAUAAACCUGUCAAUCAAUCUUAUAUAAUCUGAAACAUCAGUCAAAACCUUAUCAGUUGUAUCAGGGAGAGAAACACCAGGAUUCAUUGGCAUAACUACAAAUUUUGAAGCCAAAUGUUAUGUAUCUUCUAACUGUUGUAGCGUGUAUUUUCGAUGGCACGACUGAAUACCCUAACUAGACUCUGCAAUCUCCAAACCAGUAGCGUGUAUUUUCGACGACACGACUGAAUGAUACAAUGAGCGUAUUGGUCAAGCCAGCCAAGAGAUUUUCCUAAUCCCGACACAAACUUUGAUGGAUGAGUGGUUACACAAUUAGAUAAUUUUAGAGUUACAGAGUCGGCACAGAGAAUUACUCUUUAAAAUCAUGUGUUCAGCUGUUCAUAUAAAAGUAUGAAAUAGGGACAUCAAUUUGAGCUGUUGUUGUUGAUCAUAAUCAGAUAACAUGUCAAAUUCAUCCAUAUGAUUAUCUCUGACAUUGAGUGAAGAUCUCAACCGACUGGGCUGGAGAUUACUUCCCCGAAGAUCUGAACCAGUUCUGAAUUAUGGUCUGAGCAAGCCGAUGAAACUGUUCUGGAUUCUCAAGUUUGGAAAAUGUUCUUCCUCGCGAUUUUGACAACACUGAUUGUUAUGUUGUGAAAUGUGGCUUUGACAAUGAUGCUUAUGUUCUUACUUCGUUGGCUUCUCUAUAUGCAAAGCAAGGGUUCACAUAUAUGGCAAAACAGAUUUACAAAUACUAUCCCACAAAAGAGUUGAUUACGUUAACAGCUAUAAUCUCUAGCUGUUCUGAAAAUGUGAUAUAGAGUCUGCGAUGAAGUGUUUUAUCCAAACUAUGAAGUUAGAUAUAAAACCAGAUGCAAUUGCAAUGCAUUGAUAGGUGUCCUUCAUGGAAUUACAUGUCCUUCACAUUUUUCUAUUGGAUGUGCUUUCCACGGUUAUGGUGUAAAGAGCGGGUUGUCUAAUGAUUAUUUAGUUGAAAAUGGGCUAAUAAGUUUGUAUUCUAGAUUUGACGAGAUAGAAACAGUUUGACUUUGUUUUACAAUAAGAGAAAAGCCACAAAUCACAUGGAAUUCUAUGAUAUCAGGUUGUCUGUUUGCAAGCUGGAAAGUCAAGUGAUGCCAUGGAGUUGUUCUCCAAAACGAACAUGCAUGGACAAAAACCAGAUACCAUUAAGUGUUACCAGUCUACUAAACGGGUGUUGCCUGCUUUUAUUACUAAGAGUCAUUUGUUUGUGGUAGAAAAUAGUUUUAAAAGCUAAUAAGUUUAUAUUUGAGUUAACGCAUUUAUAAGUAAUAAUUUUUUUUCUAGAUGUCUCUAAUCCAAAAGCCAUGUAUGAAUUGAAGCAGCCUGCAAGUCGAUUACAUGGUCCAUCUUUUUCAGUGAAAAACAUCUGAUCUCAGUGAUGUAUUACAGAAAUUUCUCAAUGCCUGUUACAGUUUACUGAAUGCUAAGGUUGAUCAUGGAAAUUUUGGCAUAUAACUAACUACAACCUUGGAAUGGAUUAUCAAUCAUUGUUUUUCAAUUCAUGAUGUUUCAAGUAUGGAGGGUAAAAUUAAAAAACAAUUUGAUUGGGAUGAGACGCGGAGUGAAAAUGAAUCUGAAAUUGGAACAGUCACAGAUACGAAACGAUUUCAGGAAUUAGAGAAAACUAUUGCCAGCUUGAGAUUUGAGUUACAAACGUUAAAGGAGUCCAAUAAAAGACUUGAAGAUCGAAUACAAAACGAAAGAUCCUUAAAUAGAGAUCAUGACACCGAGCUUACAGAAACCGAACUAAAUGAGGCUUAUCACAAGAUUUUGGAAUUAGAGGUGGAACUGGACAAAGAAUCUCUAUUGUGAAGAAUUAGACACAAAAUUUGUUCAACUUUAGCUUCAGCUUGAAAGGAAAAUCGAACUCUAUUGCAAUAUUGUUUUGAGGUUUGUUUACAAAUCCUCUAGGAAUGGGAGAUAACAACAGCUUCAGAGAAGUUAGCAGUGUCAAGAAACCAUCCUUAUCCUUGAGAAGAAGUUGAAGGUAUUGGCUGCGAAAAAGGAUAUGUCCCUUUUCGACAACAUUAUUGCGGCUCAUCGUCGUCCUAUAAUCACAAAUACAUCCAGUGUUAGUCUUUCCGGUAAAGACACGAAGAUGUAAAACCGGCCGUCUCUUUUGGAUCAAAUGCUUGCUGAUGAUGAUGCAAAAUCUAAGGUUUGAAAAGCAAGUGAAAAAGGCUUUAAGCAGUCGCUCGAAAAGAUUGUAGUUUUGACAGGAGUUAGAGGUAAUGAUGACAGUGUUAAUGUCAAUUCUUUGGCCAUUUUACCUGCCAAGAAAUCUGGACGACGAAGCUUCUGGAAAAGGAUGUUAAGGACGAGAAAAAAGCCGAAAAGAGAACAAGUGUAUCAGUUUAACAAGUGAGGUGAAUAUUGAAUGUAGUUGAGUACUCUCUGUUUUAUUUGUUGCAGUUUAAAUAAAUUUAUUAUCUUAUUAAAUAGCAUAUGUAAUUAAUUUAAAUAAUUAUAUUAAAGGAAACCAAUCUGUAUAUUUAAUACUCACAUAUUCUACCAUCACUAUAACCACAAAUUAAUGAUAUGUGUGAUUUUUUUUU